rnacentral:rRNA from 1 species
UACGUAGGGUGCGAGCGUUAAUCGGAAUUACUGGGCGUAAAGGGUGCGCAGGCGGCGUCGCAAGUCAGGCGUGAAAUCCCCGGGCUCAACCUGGGAAUUGCGAUGGAGACUGCAAGGCUUGAAUCUGGCAGAGGGGGGUAGAAUUCCACGUGUAGCAGUGAAAUGCGUAGAGAUGUGGAGGAACACCGAUGGCGAAGGCAGCCCCCUGGGUCAAGAUUGACGCUCAUGCACGAAAGCGUGGGGAGCAAACAGG